rfam:Gracilibacillus boraciitolerans JCM 21714 DNA, contig:contig_9.
UUUAACUUUACAACAGAGGAUUGGAAUGAUGGAACCCUAUUUCCUGAAACACUCCCAUCAAUACUCAUGCAGGCAUCAUGAUUGACAGAUUAUGGGGUUCAAAGCACAUGUUGUUUCGGCAGAAGAAAGGCUAAAGUCAUUCCGUCGGAAAAGGUAUGCUAACUGAUAUGCCGCAUGACUGAAAA